rnacentral:rRNA from 1 species
UCCAGACUCCUACGGGAGGCAGCAGUGGGGAAUAUUGCACAAUGGGCGAAAGCCUGAUGCAGCGACGCCGCGUGAGUGAAGAAGUAUUUCGGUAUGUAAAGCUCUAUCAGCAGGGAAGAAAAUGACGGUACCUGACUAAGAAGCCCCGGCUAACUACGUGCCAGCAGCCGCGGUAAUACGUAGGGGGCAAGCGUUAUCCGGAUUUACUGGGUGUAAAGGGAGUGUAGGUGGCAUAACAAGUCAGAAGUGGAAGCCCGGGGCUCAACCGCGGGACUGCUUUUGAAACUGUUAAGCUUGAGUGCAGGAGAGGUAAGCGGAAUUCCUAGUGUAGCGGUGAAAUGCGUAGAUAUUAGGAGGAACACCAGUGGCGAAGGCGACUUUCUGGACUGUACCUGACGCUGAGGCGCGAAAGCGUGGGUAGCGAACGGGAUUAGAUACCCGUGUAAA